rnacentral:rRNA from 1 species
UGGGGAAUUUUGGACAAUGGGCGAAAGCCUGAUCCAGCAAUGCCGCGUGUGUGAAGAAGGCCUUCGGGUUGUAAAGCACUUUUGUCCGGAAAGAAAUCCUUGGCUCUAAUACAGUCGGGGGAUGACGGUACCGGAAGAAUAAGCACCGGCUAACUACGUGCCAGCAGCCGCGGUAAUACGUAGGGUGCAAGCGUUAAUCGGAAUUACUGGGCGUAAAGCGUGCGCAGGCGGUUUGCUAAGACCGAUGUGAAAUCCCCGGGCUCAACCUGGGAACUGCAUUGGUGACUGGCAGGCUAGAGUAUGGCAGAGGGGGGUAGAAUUCCACGUGUAGCAGUGAAAUGCGUAGAGAUGUGGAGGAAUACCGACGGCGAAGGCAGCCCCCUGGGCCAAUACUGACGCUCAUGCACGAAAGCGUGGGGAGCAAACAGGAUUAGAUACCCUGGUAGUCCACGCCCUAAACGAUGUCAACUAGUUGUUGGGGAUUCAUUUCCUUAGUAACGUAGCUAACGCGUGAAGUUGACCGCCUGGAGAGUACGGUCGCAAGAUUAAAACUCAAAUGAAUUGACGGGGUCAUAGCUG